rnacentral:lncRNA from 1 species
CGCGCAACCCUGGUCGCACAGCCAGAUUUGGUCACGCGACCAGAUCUGGUCACUAUGAUCAUUGACCCGCUCUAGUCCGACAACCAGCUUUGCGUUGGUGUAAAGGGAAGGGUGGCAGAGAGAGAGAGGGGCAAGGAGGUGGCUAGAGAGAGAGAGAGAGUGAGAAGAGGGAGACAGGAGAGAAAGGAAGCAAAGCAAAAAAAAGAUAGGAGUUGUGCAACAGCGAGGUGGUGCAUUGAGG